rnacentral:lncRNA from 1 species
AGCUUCUUGUUUCGUUCCCAGCUGUCUUAAAGAAAAGGGCCUUAGUUCAGCUACUGAGUGUGUUUGAUAUUCAUGAGGCCCUGAUUUGAUCCCCAGCACAAUGAAAAGCAGAAAGGAAAACUGGGUGGUGGGAGGUAGGAAGGGGAAAGGAGAGAGGGGUGAACGGGAAAACAUGGUUACUUCCUGCUCUCUGCAAGGAUGCAGAAAGACAGCACGUCUGAUGCUUGGGUCUGAAAGGUCUUAGGUCCUCUUGCCUCUGACAUUCAACUCUUAGAACAGCGUCAUUUAGAGAUUUAGAAGCUGGCACUGCAGCUUGUGCUUGCCCACCCCCCACCCCCCAUGAUAGAUGACUGUGUUAUCUGGACAGCUGAACUCACUCCUCCGUCCAUUAAGUUGGGGAGCUUCUCCAUAGCUUUGCUUAUCAAUCCUGAAUGCAGGGAUUGUAGUUUCUUUGAGUUGGAUGUGGUUGUGCAGAACUGGUCAGGAACUGAGGCAGGAGAGCCAGUUGAAGCCAGACCAGAUUACACUCUGAAGACCAUGUUUCAAAAGAGAAAGAGAACUAAAUCUCUGACCUCUUCCUGAAACUUCUUGUUAAAUUAAAGGCAGCUCUCUUGUGGGGUUAAUCUUAGUUCUUAGCCUUUGAGGACUGCUCUCUGUAUCAGCGGUUUGUUCUUUGUUUGCCGCCUGCCACCUGUGGAUCCCAGGAACCAGCUUGCCUUGUAUAUAACAAGUAAUCAAUGUGUGAACUAAAUUACUAAUAACAGAUGGUAAUGGGUAACCUCUAUCUUUUACAAGGACUGUCUUGUACUGAGACACAUUUGAUCACUAUAUGCCUAAUCCCUGAGUGCAGACAGCCAAGAAAGCCUGUGCAGAGCUGUCUAGUUAAUGGGCUGUAGUCCCUGCUUUACUUAAAGGACCUCAGGUUGGAUGCCACUAUGGUAAAUGUUGGUCUCUCUUGUUAACACCUUGUAAUUUGGUUUGGUUUUCCUUUACCAUAGCUAUUGAUCAACUAUUUUCAGUCCGGAAUGUAUUACCAAGACUGGUUGUACGUGUUCAUUAUGUUUUAAGUUCAACCUGGAGUAUGAUGUCAUUAACAGAACGUUUGUUUAUCUGAAAUACAUCACUGAUACCAAUCUGGUGUUUUCCUAUUGUUUUUAUAUGCUAUAAAAACAAAAUCUAUCAAACUUUCGAGUUUUGUGCGUCAGGUAGAUGUGUGGUUGGCACAGCUUCUCUGAGGAGUGGCACAGUAAGAUGUCAGGCUUCUCACAACUGCUCAGCUCUGCCACAGCAAGAAAUGAGAUGGGGCUCAGUGUAACUAGAAUCACUAGACACAAAAUUUGAUUUUUGUACAAUUUUUAUUCCACUAAAUAUUUUUCCCUACCCAUUUAAAAACCAUCUAUUCGGGGGCUGGAGAGAUGGCUCAGGCUCAGUGGUUAAGAGCACAGACUGUUCUUCCAAAAGUCCUGAGUUCAAAUCCCAGUAACUACAUGAUGGCUCACCACCAUCCGUAAUGAGAUCUGAUGCCCUCUUCUAGGGUGUCUGUCUGAAAACAGCUACAGUGUACUUACAUACAAUGAAUAAAUAAAUCUUUUAAAAAAAUAAAAAAUAAAAACCAUCUAUUCUUAGCUCAUGGCCAUACAAAAACAAAGAUAGACUGGAAUUUGGCCUGUGGGGACUAGUUCUCAGAUUUCCCUCACAGACUAGAAAGCUGAUUGGUUACCUUUUUUUUUUUUUUCUGGCUUUGGUACUAUUUUGUUUAUGGAAACUGGAAAAUAUUUCUUCUCUGGAACAUAAAAUUCCAUGACCAACACAGCGCCCUUGUCUUUACCCACAUUCUCUGCGUUGACCGUGGUCUUAAUAGAACUUGCUACCAUCUACCCACUUUGUUUCUGUUGGAUUUAAAAGAUCUGUCUCGAUUUUCUAAUACAGAAUAAAGCAAUAUAAUUUCUAAAUACCUUCUCUUUAGCCAGAUUCUAAAAUUAUGUAAUAAGGAUGUUUUGAAAACAAAUGGGGGGGUGGAGAGAUAGCUUAGCGCGUAAGCGUGCUUGCUGCCCUUCUGAGGAUCUGAGUUCAGUUCCCCGCUCAGUUGCAGUGCUCGAGCUGAGUGACUCAUACCUGCCUGUAACUCCAGCUCCAGGAGGGAUGCCGCGCCUCAAGCCUCUGCCAGCGCGGCACUCAGGUGCAUGUGCCACUCCCACACACAUGUGCAUAAUUGAAAAGAACCCUUUCUAAAGGAAGUGAUUUUCCAUUGAGCACCUAGAGCACGCCUGUGUUGCCUAGUUGGUUGCAUAGAUUUAAGAUUAGGCAUUUAAGGGACUCAUUUGCUUUUCGAAUUAUUCUUGUAAAAAAAACAAAAAC